rnacentral:rRNA from 1 species
GGACCCGCACAAGCGGUGGAACAUGUGGUUUAAUUCGAAGCAACGCGAAGAACCUUACCAGGACUUGACAUCUAGAGAACCUCAGUGAAAGCUGGGGGUGCCUUUCGGGGAACUCUAAGACAGGUGGUGCACGGUUGUCGUCAGCUCGUGUCGUGAGAUGUUGGGUUAAGUCCCGCAACGAGCGCAACCCCUGUUAUUAGUUGCUGCUAUCGGUAUACUGAUAGUGAGCUCUCUAAUAAGACUGCCGGUGACAAACCGGAGGAAGGUGGGGACGACGUCAAAUCAUCAUGCCCCUUAUGUUCUGGGCUACACACGUGUUACAAUGGCUAGGACAACGAGCAGCCAACUCGCGAGAGUGAGCAAAUCUACUUAAACCUAGUCUCAGUUCGGAUCGUAGUCUGCAACUCGACUACGUGAAGUCGGAAUCGACUAGUAAACGCAGAUCAGCACGCUG